UUUUUCAGAAACAGUCUUCUUCUUCCUCGCAAGUUCUCAACUACUCCUCCUCUCACUCCCUCCGCCGUUCUCAACCACUCCCCGUCCCUCCGUCUUCGUCUCACUGUCACGCCACCGUCGCCGCCGCCGCUGCCGCCGCCGUUCUGUGGGAUUUUAGGGUUUUCUUGGUCAAAAUCAACACUUCUGUUCAGCUACGACUUGGAGUUCACUGUUGCACACAAUCUUGUAGCUGUCAGUACUGGAAGCUUGUUAUACCAGGAAUAUCUUUGCUACAUAGGGGUUACUUGUGAAGAGUGAAAGUUUGAUCUCAUUCAAGAAUCUUACAUUGUGUGGGUCUACAAGUUGCUUACUACUAUACAGGUAAUAU